rnacentral:rRNA from 1 species
AUUGAACGCUGGCGGCAGGCUUAACACAUGCAAGUCGAGCGGGGGAAGGUAGCUUGCUACCGGACCUAGCGGCGGACGGGUGAGUAAUGCUUAGGAAUCUGCCUAUUAGUAGGGGACAACAUCUCGAAAGGGAUGCUAAUACCGCAUACGUCCUACGGGAGAAAGCAGGGGAUCUUCGGACCUUGCGCUAAUAGAUGAGCCUAAGUCGGAUUAGCUAGUUGGUGGGGUAAAGGCCUACCAAGGCGACGAUCUGUAGCGGGUCUGAGAGGAUGAACCGCCACACUGGGACUGAGACACGGCCCAGACUCCUACGGGAGGCAGCAGUGGGGAAUAUUGGACAAUGGGGGGAACCCUGAUCCAGCCAUGCCGCGUGUGUGAAGAAGGCCUUAUGGUUGUAAAGCACUUUAAGCGAGGAGGAGGCUACUUUAGUUAAUACCUAGAGAUAGUGGACGUUACUCGCAGAAUAAGCACCGGCUAACUCUGUGCCAGCCGCCGCCGUAA